UUAUGAGGAUGAGGAUGAUGAUGUUGAUGAUGAUGAUGAUGAUCGUCAUUGCCACUGUCGUCAUCGUCAUCAUCAUCAUCAUCAUCAUCAUUUAUC
rnacentral:pre_miRNA from 1 species